rnacentral:rRNA from 1 species
UGCCAGCCGCCGCGGUAAUACAGAGGGUGCAAGCGUUAAUCGGAAUUACUGGGCGUAAAGCGUGCGUAGGUGGUUUGUUAAGUCAGAUGUGAAAUCCCCGGGCUCAACCUGGGAACUGCAUUUGAAACUGGCAAGCUAGAGUGUGGUAGAGGGAAGUGGAAUUUCCGGUGUAGCGGUGAAAUGCGUAGAUAUCGGAAGGAACACCAGUGGCGAAGGCGGCUUCCUGGACCAUAACUGACACUGAGGCACGAAAGCGUGGGGAGCAAACAGGAUUAGAUA